rnacentral:rRNA from 1 species
UGAGUACGAGAUGCUACGGCGUCGAAGCAGUCUAGGUCAUACUUCCAAGAAAAGCUUGCACUGUCAUAAACAAAGAAUGCCUGUACCAUAACCGACACAGGUGGGUAGGUAGAGUAUACUAAGGGGCGCGAGAUAACUCUCUCUAAGGAACUCGGCAAAAUGACUCCGUAACUUCGGGAGAAGGAGUGCCUUAUUUUUAAGGUUGCAAUAACAAGAUCCAAGCAACUGUUUACCAAAAACACAGGUCUCCGCUAAGUCGUAAGACGAUGUAUGGGGGCUGACGCCUGCCCAGUGCCAGAAGGUUAAAGAAGUUGGUUAGCAUUUGCGAAGCUGAUAACUGAAGCCCUGGUGAACGGCGGCCGUAACUAUAACGGUCCUAAGGUAGCGAAAUUCCUUGUCGGGUAAGUUCCGACCCGCACGAAAGGCGUAAUGAUUUGGAUACUGUCUCGGAGAGGGGCUCGGUGAAAUAGACUUGUCUGUGAAGAUGCGGACUACCUGCACCUGGACAGAAAGACCCUAUGAAGCUUUACUGUAACUUGAGAUUGAAAUUGGACUUUAUUUGCGCAGUAUAGGUGGGAGGCGUUGAGAAUAAUCUUGCGGGAUUAUCGGAGCCAUCAGUGAGAUACCACUCUUGUAAUGUUAGAUUUCUAACUUUGUAUCAUUAUCUGGUCAAAGAACAGUUUCAGGCGGGCAGUUUGACUGGGGCGGUCGCCUCCCAAAGGGUAACGGAGGCGCACAAAGGUUUCCUCUGAACGGGUAGAAAUCGUAUCUAGAGUGUAAAGGCAUAAGGAAGCUUGACUGUGAGACCUACAAGUCGAGCAGGGACGAAAGUCGGUCUUAGUGAUCUGACGGUGCUGAGUGGAAAGGCCGUCACUCAACGGAUAAAAGUUACUCUAAGGAUAACAGGCUGAUCUCCCCCAAGAGUUCACAUCGACGGGGAGGUUUGGCACCUCGAUGUCGGCUCAUCGCAUCCUGGGGCGGUAGUACGUCCCAAGGGUUGGGCUGUUCGCCCAUGAAAGCGGUACGCGAGCUGGGUUCAGAACGUCGUGAGACAGUUCGGUCCAUAUCCGGUGUAGGCGUUAGAAUAUUGAAAGGAGCCUUCUCUAGUACGAGAGGACCGAGAAGGACAUACCUCUGGUGUGCCAGUUAUCGUGCCAACGGUAAACGCUGGGUAGCUAUGUAUGGAGUGGAUAACCGCUGAAAGCAUCUAAGUGGGAAGCCCACCUUAAGAUAAGUAUUCUCGU